UACGAAGGGGGCUAGCGUUGUUCGGAAUUACUGGGCGUAAAGGGCGCGUAGGCGGCCUGUUAAGUCAGACGUGAAAUCUCUCGGCUCAACCGGGGAACUGCGUCUGAUACUGGCGGGCUUGAAUUCGGGAGAGGGAUGUGGAAUUCCAGGUGUAGCGGUGAAAUGCGUAGAUAUCUGGAGGAACACCGGUGGCGAAGGCGGCAUCCUGGACCGACAUUGACGCUGAGGCGCGAAAGCCAGGGGAGCAAACGGG
rnacentral:rRNA from 1 species